rnacentral:tRNA from 1 species
UCAGGUUAAGCUUAAAAGAUGAGAUUUUCAUUUACACUGAAGUUAUAAAUCGUGCAAUUCGAUUUAAUCUGAA